GAAGAACCCAACCAAUUUCACCCCGGGAGGCUUUAGUGAAAAAAUGAACAGUCACACCCCUGACAGGUCACGGACAUGUGGAGACUCAUGGGCCAUUUCAUCACCCUCCUCCUCCCCUAGCGCGUACAUAGCACUUCUCAUCUGUAGAGCUCAAGCACUUUACAGUGAAGGAGGUAAUGCGGCAAGUGAGACGAGGCAAUCUGAUGACACUGUUGCAGCCGGACUCGCAAGAUAUUUACAUGCCAGAUACGCUAAAGAUUCCUCUGUCCCUUCAUGCUUCAACCACCAUUGCUUAAUAUCCCUUCCCCUGGCCUGUUAUAC